GCUCACUUUGGCAGCACAUAUAUUAAAUUUGGGAAGAUAAAGAGAAGAUUAGCAUGGCCCAUGCACAAGAAUGACAUGUAAAUUUGUGAAGUGUUCAUAUUUUUC